rnacentral:lncRNA from 1 species
GGGCCCCACAGUCUUCAUUACAACCUCACGGUGCUGUCCCGGGAUGGAUCUGUGCAGUCAGGGUUUCUUGCUGAGGGACAUCUGGAUGGUCAGCCCUUCCUGCUCUUCAACAGGCAGAAAGGCAGGGCUGGGUCCCGGGGACAGUGGGCAGAAGCAGUUCUGGGAGCUGAGACCUGGGACACAGAGACUGAGGACUUGACAGAGAAUGGGCAGGACCUCAGAAGGGCCCUGGCAUAUAUCAAGGGACAGAAGGGAGCCUUGCAUUCCCUCCAGGAGAUUAGGGGUUGUGAGAUCAGGAAGCCAGCAGCACCAGGGGCUCUAGGCUUUCCUACUCUUAUGGGUAGCUCUUCCUCUCUCUCAACCUGGAGACUCAGGAAUGGACAGUAUCCCAGUCCUCCAGAACUCAGACCUUUGCUAUGAACAUCACAAAUUUCUAGAAGGAAGAUGCUAUGCCGGCCGAGACACACUCUCACCCUAUAUGGGUAGACUGCAGGCAGAAACUACAGCAGUAUCUGGAAUCCUGUGUGGGUGUCAGGAACUCCUCCACCAUGAGUGUGGCCUGCAGUGAGGCCCUGGAGGGCAACAUCACCCUGAUAUGCUGGGCUCUGGCUUGUAUCUCCAGAAUAUCUCUCUGACCUGGUGACAGGAUGGGGCGUCUUUGAGCCAGGAUGCCCAGCAGUCUUGGGGUGUUCUGUCCAAUGGGAUGGGACCUACCACACAGAGGUGGCCUGCAGGAUUCCCCAAGGAGAGGAGCAGAGGGUCAUCUGCUCCAUGGGAUACAGCAGGAAUCACAGCACUCACCCUGUGUCCUCU